GCACCACUCUGGCCUUUUGGCUUAGAUCAAGUGUAGUAUCUGUUCUUAUUAGUUUAACCACUAAUAUGGUCGCACCGCGAUCAUUCUGGUUAUCUUAUUUUUGCCGCCCCGUCGUUCAUCCUCUGGCAUGCCAUGGUGAACGACAAGAUGACCUUCCUAUUGCACUGACCGGGUUGGGUCGUCAGGGGAU
rnacentral:snRNA from 1 species